AGAAAUUGAACGCGUGGAUCUGUCACACAUUAGUCUUAAAAUUUUGCUUCUGCGUGGCAGAACCAGGCUUCUACAUUA
rnacentral:precursor_RNA from 1 species